UACGGGGGGAGCAAGCGUUGUUCGGAUUACUGGCGUAAAGGGCGCGUAGGCGGUCGUGACAAGUCACUUGUGAAAUCUCCGGGCUUAACUCGGAACGGUCAAGUGAUACUGUCGGACUAGAGUACAGAAGGGGCAACUGGAAUUCUCGGUGUAGCGGUGAAAUGCGUAGAUAUCGAGAGGAACACCUGCGGCGAAGGCGGGUUGCUGGGCUGACACUGACGCUGAUGCGCGAAAGCUAGGGGAGCGAAGCGGG
rnacentral:rRNA from 1 species